UACGUAGGGGGGCAAGCGUUGUCCGGAAUUAUUGGGCGUAAAGAGCUCGUAGGCGGUGUGUCGCGUCGGCCGUGAAAACCUGCAGCUUAACUGUGGGCUUGCGGUCGAUACGGGCAUCACUGGAGUUCGGCAGGGGAGACUGGAAUUCCUGGUGUAGCGGUGAAAUGCGCAGAUAUCAGGAGGAACACCGGUGGCGAAGGCGGGUCUCUGGGGCCGAUACUGACGCUGGAGGGAGCGAAAAGCGUGGGGGAGCGAACAGG
rnacentral:rRNA from 1 species